rnacentral:rRNA from 1 species
GUCUACAGCUAUGCGACACUGAAUGUGCCUGAUCUCGUCUGAUCUCAGAAGCUAAGCAGGGGUGGGCCUGGUUAGUACUUGGAUGGGAGACCACCUCGAAAUACCAGGUGCUGGAGGCA